rnacentral:misc_RNA from 1 species
UAAUAAGUGUUUUAUGGCACUUUUUAAAUCCAUAUCCACCUUGUGUGUCAAUGUCAGUCGAUCUUCUUCAUGGAGAUUGACCAAACAUCAACCUUUAUCUUUUAACAUCUUUGUCUGAAAAAUAUUAUGAAUAAACAAUUCAAAAUA